CCGAGUGAGGGCCCUCUGGGUCCAACCUCCCACCCGUGUCUCUUGUACCUCGUUGCUUCGGCGAGCCCGCCUCACGGCCGCCGGGGGGCAUCCGCCCCUGGGCCCGCGCCCGCCGAAGACACCCACGAACUCUGUCUGAAGAUUGUAGUCUGAGUGAAAUGAUAAAUUAUUUA
rnacentral:misc_RNA from 1 species